rnacentral:rRNA from 1 species
GGAGUCUGCCCACCGGGAGCGGCGGCACGGCUCAGGACAACGGUUGCACCCCCCGCGGCGGUCCCUGCUAGCCGGACACCGCUGGCAACCCGGCGCCAAGACGUGCGCGCAAGUGCGGACGCCCGCGGGCGAGCAGCGUGACGCAG